GAGAGUUUGAUUCUGGCUCAGGAUGAACGCUGGCGGCGUGCUUAACACAUGCAAGUCGAACGAACUGAUAGGAGCCUAGCUCCUUGACGUUAGUGGCGGACGGGUGAGUAACGCGUGGGUAAUCUGCCUUAUACAAAGGGAUAACUCAGAGAAAUCUGUGCUAAAACCUUAUAAGCUUACACUACCGAUGGUAGAGUAAGAAAAAAUUUAUUGGUAUAAGAUGAGCCCGCGUCCGAUUAGCUAGUUGGUGGGAUAACAGCCUACCAAGGCCACGAUCGGUAACCGGCCUGAGAGGGUGACCGGUCACACUGGGACUGAGACACGGCCCAGACUCCUACGGGAGGCAGCAGUGGGGAAUAUUGCACAAUGGGGGAAACCCUGAUGCAGCAACGCCGCGUGAAGGAUGAAGGUUUUCGGAUCGUAAACUUCUAUCAGUAGGGAAGAAAAAAAUGACAGUACCUAACUAAGAAGCCCCGGCUA
rnacentral:rRNA from 1 species